AAAUAACAUUUAUAAUAAAUAAUGUAUUUUUGUAAUAGUAUAUGCAAAACAAGGCUUUGAAAAAAACAUGCAAACUCUAAAUUUAAAUGUGUGUGUACAUAAAUAUGUUGAACAAGGCAUUCAGGCAAUCGAUUUCCUCUUGCAGCUACUUGAUACAGGCUUUAUCAAAUUUCUGGGGAUUGUACAUAAUUGCGUCUUUCUCACUUGCAUAGACAUACUGAAAAAGCAAGCUCUGUCACCUGCACCUCUUCACCUCAUCAUUUCCUGUUCUCGCUAUACUGUCUGUAUGAGUAACAGUGUCAAAAACAGUGGCUAACUACUUUGACAAUUGUCAAAGUUUAGGAACCACACACACACACAAAAAAAAAAAAUCACUAUGUACAGUCCACAAUUAUCUAAAAAAAAUCAAUGUUAAUUUAUGAGCUCCAUUCCCGUCUACUUAAUGACCGCCUGACCUCUCUUACAAAACAUGAGUCUGACGCACAGAUAAUCAGCCGUCUGACUGCCAAUGAGACGUGCAAGCUGACUGGUCAGUUCAGAGGCACACAAAGAGUCUCACAGGAUUCACCGGCAUUCUUUGACCUCCGGAAGAUCCCAGUGGGACCAUUGAGGAUCAUUAGAUGUUUAGCUUGCCACAGCAUGCUCAACGUGUGUGUAUAUGUUUGUGCUGUAAUAAGCGUGUGCGCAGGUGUCUUACACUCCAAGUAAGCGACGUGACAAAACUAGAUCGCUCUAAUUUACACAAAAACUACUGAUCUAGGUUUGUCGCACACUGCAAGUGAGCAGCGACACGCAGACGACACACCGUUAGAAAGAAAGACGAGAGAGAGUGUUAAUGUGUGUGUGUGUGUGUGUGUGUGUGUGUGUGUGUGUGUGUGUGUGUGUGUGAGAGAGUGAGUGAGAGAGAGAUAUUUUGUCCUUUACUGAAGCCCAUUUCUUAUUCACUCCGGAGGCAGCGGAUCCGGCAAAAACCGGAUAUAUUUAGACACUCCAUUACAGAGAGAGCUCUGUGUGUGUGUGUGUGUGUGUGUGUGUGUGUGAGACAUGCUCAAUGUCCCUAUACAAUCUCCAUUAACAUCCACACAAACACGUUCUGCAAAUCUACACAAAUACAAGCACAUGCGAGUCCACACACACACACACACAGCAUGUUACACAUGUUCCAUCCGAGAAGUGUUCACACACACAAAUGGCAUUCAUAUAUGCAUUCACUUUCACAUUACAACACGCAUACACACAAAAACAGACAGAAACAUAAUUACACUACGUACACUUUCAUCACUUCACUUCUUCUCUCCAUCAACCCACUGAUCUAUACCUGUAUUACCGUCAUAAACAUGAUUUACAGCUCUGCAAAAGAGGAACACACAUCCUCCCCUCCCCUCGUCUCCUGUGUUUGUAUGUGUGUGUGUGUAUGUGUGUGUGUGUGUAUAUGUGUGUUUACAUUGACAAAAGCAUAAACCUGAUGAGAAAAUCCAUCUCCUGUUUCAGAUCGGACAGAGCAGAAAUAUCUUCUAUUGAUCACUGCAAAACAACCAUCAGCUAAGAAAACAGCCAUGAUUGGCGAGACAGGCAUGCAGUUCCACACCACUCUCCCUGUAGACUCUGUAGUGUGUGUGUGUGUGUGUGUGUGUGUGUGUGUGUGUGUGUGUGUGUGUGUGUGUGACAGUGUCUAGCUCUAGGGAUGAUUUAAACAUUCAAAAGGGAGUAAAAUCAGCGUGUCAGUGCUAUAACACAAGAGUCAUCAUAUUUCUACAUGGAAAGGGUGAUGGAAGUGGCGUCUCAAAUAAAAGUGCGCAAGGAGGAGAGGGAGAGAGACAGAGAGUGGGUAGAGAAAAUGAGAAUGAGAAAAGGCAGCAAUUAAUAAGUUAUAGAUUAGUUCUUUGAAUAACUUUGCAUUAUUCAUUGUGGGGUUAUGAUGAUAACUGAAAUUAGAGAUUCAUUUUCAGCUAGAGAGAGAGAGAGAGAGAGAGAGAGAGAGAGAGAGAGAGAGAGAGAGAGAGAAUGGGGUGAUGUGUUGAGGCACCAGUCCCACAAAACGAAAGGAAAUAGUAAGACACGGCAAAGCUCCGGUCCCCCCAAACUACACACACACACACACACACACACACACACACACACGGUCCAACGUUAACAAUCAGCAAGUGUCAAAUGUGAGUAAAAGGUGGCUUUUAUGAACAACAAAAGGGUUAUUUGAAAACUUUACAAAGAAUAAGUGAUUUACUGUAGGCGAUUCAAAUCAAUCACAUGUACAAACAUCUUGUAUCACUGGAAUAUAUACACAUUAAGUAUAAUAUCUGAACAGAAACUGGAGGUGCCAAUAUAGGUAAAUUGAUUAAACAAUUUAUUUUGUGUUUCUGGUUGGUUCAAGAGCUGUAUGUCCUUCAAUAAAAACAAUAGUCAUUGGUGGGAAAAAAUAAAUAGGUUUUAAUUAAUUAUUGUAUGUUUUUAGCAUUUUAAUUAAGCUAUACUACUACUAAUAUUAAUAAUAAUUAAUUAAUGAAUUAAUUAAUAAAGUCCUCUUGCAGUCCCAUAGGGAGCCCCUGCCCACUAGUUGAGAAUCACUGAUCUAGGAUAACUUAAGUUUUUUUACUUCAGAACUUCAAACAUAUGUGGAAUAUUCUUUUCAUAAAGCCAACCAGACAAAAAUAUAAGGAACAAAACCACAAAAGUUCUUGAAGGUUUGAGACAGGUGCAGUUUGACUGGCUCUCCUCAUGUAUGAUGCUACAAUUUACACAAUAACCUUCACUGUUUGUCUAAAUAUGCAAAUAUUUAAACAAAACAGACAGCUAUAUAAUUCUAUUAUCAUAGGGACAAUUUAUUUUUUAUCAAUUACAUUUUUAUUUUUUUAUUUUUCAACUUUAUCUGGAGAGUACAGUAUAGAGUAGACAGGAAUCAAUGUAGGAGAGAGAGGGGGAUGAGAUUUUAGGGUUUUAGGGAUCUUUUUUUUUUUUUUUUUUUUUUUUUUUUUACAAUUUUGUAUGUGAACAUAAAAUGAGUUCUGACCAUCUCAGAAGUCUGCUGGGCAGUUCACUUAAAAGAAGCUUUUGAAGAAGGGAUUGUAAAUUGUUUCACUUCUUUUCACAUUUGUGUGAUUCAAAAUAUAAAGUGGGGUCAGAGACAGCCAGAGACCACAAGUAAAAAUUCUUUUAUUUAGCAUUUUCCUAAUUUAAUUUUUUUUAAAAAAAGAUGACAAAUUGUAAUAUUAGCAUUACAAAUUGAGUGAAAUUUUACUGAAUGGAAAAAAAGCUUGUUUUUGCCACUAAAUAAAAAAAUAAAAAAGGUAAUUGCAAUUUUUUAUCUCACAAUUCUGACUUUUUUCUUGCCAUUGCGAGUUUUAAAUCAUGCAAUUUUCCUCAGAAUUCUGACUUUUUUUCCUCUCAAUUGAGAGUUGUGACUCAAAAAGUCACAGUUAGCUUUUCUAUUAUUUAAUGGCGAAAACAAGCUUCCAUAAAAAUCUGAUAAGUGACCAGGAGCAAAAUAUUAGCUUCAUUUUGAUUUAUUAUUUUUUUUUAAUUUUUCAAAAAUGUUUAAAGUAGAUAUGCAAGAGAACCAAUGGACCAAUGCAAGAGAGAGAAAAAAAGAAUUAUAUUAGAUUUUCAAUAUGGUCUCAGACCUUUAAACAGGUUACCAUGCAAAAAUAACACAUACACUAGGACAAAGUUUGCAGGAAGGGGAAGUUUCCUCCUGCAGUCACAAUAUAAAACAACUGACACUGAGGUCAUGUGAUCCUGACUAGUUGACACACUUCAACUAGAGCAUCAACUAGAGGUGAACCUAGACUGUUUCAGUACAACCCCGAGUCUAUAAAUCAAAAUGCACGCAAACAAACAUUGACAAUUUACAUAAUUAAAUAAGAGUCAAGUUCAAUUUAUUCAAGUCAUUUGUGUUGUUCUAGGGUGUGUGUGUAUGUGUGUGCGUGUGUGCGCAUAUGCGUGCAAAGGCAGAAAUACAGUCUCUGAGACAGACAGACAGACGGUUGCAAAUUAAACAAGAACUAUGGCUGCUUGAGCAAUUUUUGGUUUAAAUAUUGUCAUUCUCUUGUUCACACCCUGUCUCUCUCUCUCUCUCUCUCUCUCUCUCUCUCUGGCCUCCAGACUUAAUCCAGAGCUGUCUAACCAUCUGCCUAAUUUUAGCUUAAAACGCACACUGAAGUUUCCUCCUCUGCUCUGUGCAUCACACCCAUGUCAUAUGAUCCUUUUAUGCAGCCGUGACCUCCUCAGACAGACCAGUCUGAAAACGGCCCACAUCUGCGCACCCAAACACACUCCCUGCCCAUCUCCGAGUCUGGGCCUGCUCGACUGUACCGGCAGCCUUCCAGAGAAUUCUCCAAGUGCCAGGACGAACACAUGGUGACAACCGUAACAAUAUUUCAAGGCGAUUACGAUUACCAAGAGCUCUGGCGACAAACAGGCGUUGGAUUACGCCGUUACUGCGCCUGAUCUUUAAAACAAAGGUGGGCUAAGCCGUGGAAACCGCGUGGAAUCCCACGCACAUGUAGAAAACAUGUACACAAGAGCAGAACGUGCGACUAAUCUGGGAGGACUAAAUGGGUCUGCCUCGAGCUGUCAAUCAUGCACCGUGUGGGAGGAGUCAGCCGCGGGGUCAGGGAGGAUGCGGUCGGAAUUUAUGAGGGAAUGAUGGCAUCGUCAAGGACUGUAGGCAAGCAGGCGGUUCGGGGGGGCGUCAAGGCCGAAGGACACGCGGAGGAUACGGAACACAGAGUCUGAUCCGCAGACCUUCCCAGGCCCUGGAUUACACCACAGCCCACCCGUUUGCAUCAGCCUCUCUCCCUCCAGAGAAAGAGAGAGGAGUUGACAGGAAAGAAAGUGGAAAGAGGAGCAAGAAGGGGCGGAAAGGACAGAAACAUAGUGAGAACGGAUGAGAAUAGCUGCUCGCGUGAUUUUUCUGUGGGUUGCUGGGUUUGAGUAGGACAGCGGGACCGAGUUGAAGUAAAGCAGACUAGACUGGCCCGAAUCCUUCAAUCCUGAACACUGACUAACUUUGUUCCAAAACCUAAUGAGCUGCCUACAUAGAGAGCAUGCUAAUGCAUCAUAGAUGCACUCCUGACACAAACACCGUUCUAAUAGGUAGUAAUUAUGCUGCCUUCGAAGAUGCAUUCCAUGCAUCCAAAUAUGCCUACCUCCCUACUAAACAUAGGUGAAAACAGUAUGUGAAAUUAGUAGGAUGUCUGAAUUUAUAGUAUUCAUAAAACAGGAGGUGAAAAGUGAGCAUCUGAUGGACACCUAUGAGGGUACCGGAGAGGAGUUGUGAAUGGCAUAAGCGACAGAAGACGCAUGACAAAAAGACAUGGCAGGUUUAGUAUGUCCAGAUUUCAGUCAUACUACAAACAUUCACACUAUAUAUAACAUACUUUAACUGUUGCAAAGUUCACACCUACAAAUGUAGCACCUACUCAGACGGUAUGAAAUUUUGGUCAAAUUCUAAGCUAGUAUCGUAUCAUUUGCAGAAGACAAUGCCAAGAUGCAUCGUGACAAGCUCAACAGAAAUGUUCAUUAUACACAAUCAUUUAAUGGCUCAUUACUGUUUUAUCUAAUAUUUGUGUGUGCUAUAUAUUUCUAUUCUUAUUACAGUAAUGAGCUUAGUUAGCUUACUAACAUGCUAAUGCCAAAAAGAGAAAAUACAAAUUUGUGUGUACUGCACUCGAUGACCUUCUCAACGGUAUUCAGGUGUGUAGUAUGAAUACAAUCCAGACAUACUACAUCCACCAUGUUAGCAUUGUCAUGUCACCUAUGAUGUCAGCCACAUCAUUGGACAUUUUACGGUCCACAAAUUGGAAAAUGCAUAUAACAUAGCAUGAAUACUUCAGAAUCUUGGAAUAAGCAUUAAGUACAGCUAAAAGUACAGCUAAAAGAGACAAAUCACUGGUUUUGUUGACAACAGUAUGUGCAUUAGAUAGCCUGAAGCAUACAGAUAUUUUAACAUGAUACAGGUUUCUUUAAACAUGAUAUCAAUUGAAGAAGAUACAUUUUUGACCCAUUUUUUGCCAAUUUAAAUGAAUUAAAACUGAAAUUUGAAGAUUUUGGUCUUUCCCAUUCAAGUACAUAUUAGCUAUACUUUACAAUUAUAAUUAGCUAUGUUUACAAGUGCACUGUCAGAAGAAAAUUUGCACCUUGUCACUUACGUAGUACCCUCAAAAGGACAACUCUGUACCAUGUGUCUACCCCUAAAAGGUUCAUAUUAGUACUUUCGAGUAGUAAUAUGUAUCCUUAACCCUUUCAAAUGUCACCGUCCAGCUAGCGGGACGCUUGGCGCUGUUUUUAUUUAUCGCCUUUUUUCGCAUCACAUAUUUCAGUAAUCAUCAUAAAUUAGGUAUCAUUCGAAGAGCUUAAAAACACAGCAUUCAUCCUGUAAAAAAAAACGUUUUGAAAUUGGACAUUGCAUUACUAUGGAAAUGGUACUUUAAAUCAUUUUAGCGGGCUGCUCCCCCUUGUGGGCGUUGUCAUGUUUCAUAUUACAACAUUUAUUUUAACUACUUUAUAUCAUCAGAAUGGUCUGAAUUUCAAGCUUUCAUAUUUGGCAUCUGUUUUUUGAUAGAAGUGAUAUUUGGACAGAAAUUGAUUAAUUUCAAUGGAAUGUGGGUGACACGGGGUGGCUUUUUUUUUUUUUUUUUGGUACAACACCUAAACAAAAUCUCAUGGGAACUUCAAUUUUUGUGAUAUCAACUUCAAAUUUGUAACACAACUUGGUUAGACAUAUGGCUUUAAUUUUAUAUCAAUUUUAGAGUAAAUCUUGUUUUGUAAAAUAUAUAUUUUAUAUAAAACAAACUUUUCGGUGAGUACAUUUGAUUUACAGUACUUUUUCAUACUUUCAAUUUUUGAAGUGCUUUCACUUCAGCAACUGCUGAGUGUCUUCUUUAAAACAAGUCCAAACUUAGGUCUAUAUUCUAAAGCAUUCUUGAAUUAAAACGAUUUAAGUUUGGAUAGUGCAUUUUCACAUCUAUGCUCAGGGACUACUAUGAACCUUUUAGGUGUAAAUAUGGUAGAAAGAUGUCUCUUCGAGGUAACCGCCCCAGUGACGAGCUGUUGUGCCCUGUAAACAUUUUUUGCAGCCAAGAGAACAGACUUGUUUAAAUCAACCACUUACAAAGUUCCAUUUGUGUUAGAAUGCAGCCGCCUAUGUAGACAUUAGAAAGGGUUUUAAAACAGAGCAAGGCCCCAUCGAAGAUGUGCUGAUCUGGAUGGAGAGAUCACGCUAAAAGAGAGGGUCUAAGAGCUGAGACAGAGAGAUCAUAUUAAAUGUGUAGUUGUGCACUGGAGGUGUAGCAGCCGCAAUGUAUUUGUGUGUAAUGAGCUCAUGUUCUGUUGUCCUAGCUAAAUAAAGCCUGAAGGCACCAUCUCUCUCUCUCUCUCUCUCAGUCUCGGACUUUUCCAUCCACCUCUCUCUCCACCUAAAAUGCUGUCUUUGUUUUUCCUUGUUCUUUUUUAGAACAGAGCUUCUUUCUUUAGUUAACGUAAUGGCAUAAUUAGGCAUUCGUUUAAAGAGAUAGUCUUUUAGCUUUAUGCAUUCUCUGAGUCUCUCAGAGCGCCUUCCGCACGGCUCGUUCCUUCCCAACAGAAAGCCAAUUAUGUGAAGUUUAUGUGGCUUUGCAAGCCAAAUAUAGGCAAGACCGUUCAUCUCUGAUGAUAACAUGCAUGAGUCAUAAUGUGUGUGUGUGUGUGUGUGUGUCUUUGUGGUUGCGCGAGUGUGUCAAGUUACGAAGACACCCAUGGUGCAUCUAAUGAGAUGAAUGUCGCUUAUUUAUUUAUUUGUUUGUUUACUUAUACACAACUUUUAGAGAGCUGUAUAAAUACUUUCUGAUAAAAGAUUGCUGUUGUGUUGCUUUAUCCAGUGGGUCAAAGGUCACUGACAGCCAGCAGACAGACAGAGCUGGAAUCUGAUUGGCCGUUUCAUCAUCAGUCUGUAACAAUGACCUGCUUCAUCUCAACUGAUUUGUCCUGGACACCGAUUCCAGUUAUUUUUCAUUCAAGACAGAUUAUCUAUCAGCGACAGAACACAUUAAAGGCACGGGAUCAGUUAAAAGCACCCAGCGUGCGGACACACACGCAGCAGGUGAGCAGCCAGCUGUCAUAUCCUCACGCCUAGUCCAGGGAACAUCGCUCUGACAUUUCAGGAGCGGCAGAGACAGCCGAGCGGAGCUGUGUGAAAUGGCGGCGAGCUCCUCCGGUGUGAAACCCUCGGAGGGCCGUGGAGGAGAGAGAUCUUCGGGCGCCCCUCACCGGUUCACUGGCACCUGCUCUUUGCCUGUACACGUUUGUUUACAAAACGUAAACACGGUAGCAUUAGCAUUACGCUGUUUCAUUGGUUUAAUGGCAGCUAAAAAUAAUCCUGGACUGAUUACAAAUCAUUCUCCAAAAAAAGAUUUUCUACUUUAACACAAUUUACGGCCGUUCAAUCACUCUUUGUUUGUUUAUGAGAUUUUGAAGUGUUUACAGGCAGAGACUAAUGACUAAAAGUCAGGCUGUAAACACGCUCUUAAUAAAACUAGCCCUGUGUAGCAGUGAGUAAUCACGGCUGAUCCUGCCAGUUUGCUUGUGUGAGAGUGUGUGUUUGUGAUCGUGUGUGUGUGUGUACUUUGCCCGUGUGGGAAAUGAUUAACAUCCAGUGACUCACAGCCCCCAACAAUAACACGUAAGAGGUAAGACAACACACACACAAGUGAGGUAAACACACAAACACGCUAAAUCUAGGCCGUGCAACACACGGCCUGCAUGCACCUCAUCCUCCUGCGAGAGCUAAAAACCACAGCGCGGGAUGACAUGAAAGCUGUUUCUGCUCAAAUAUAAGAGAGUUAACAAGCGAAGGUCUGCAUCUGAACAAACUCGAGCGGAAAUCCAACCGUCUAUCUCUCUCUUGGGAGAGUGAUUGUCCUCAGGGAACUCUUGCUCAAACAGCAGACUGUGUGACUUGGUUGUGAAGUUUAUCAAGUUUAUGUCGUUACAAAACAACCAACCGAGGGAGUGACACUUCAACUGGCAACCUUUAACCUAAAUACAUGUCCGUCAAAUCAGAUUCAGCCACUUCUGAAUAACAGAAUCACUCUUUUCUUGUACUUGUUUAGUCAUGUUUAUUAGCCGUUGCUAACACUCAUUGGAAACUUUAAGGGUCAGCCUCCUUUUCUGUGGGCUUUUAAGACCCUCAUCACAUGACUUGGGACAAACUACAGAAGUACUGGUACUUUUGACAUCCCUAAGGUGAACAACAAACACAUAUUACUACGCUACUUUUCCAUUGUUUGUCUAUGUAAGCACUUGCUACAUGAGCAUCUUUGACCAUUGCUCUCGCAUCUUUUUCAGUGUCUUUUUCUCUUCAUUCCACUGCUUGCAUCUCACAUUUUUAGUUGAAAAUGUGUAAAUGGCCCCUAAAGGUGCAACAGGUCCAGGAAAUGCAAGCUGAUAAAUGCUUAUGUGCGCUAACAGCUAGGCCAUGGCUCUGACGACGUUUCUCUCUUUCAAAGAAUCACUCAAAUCGCCUUCAGAGCCAAAUACAAACCGGCAGGGAAAAUCAGGCCGAGGUCAAUAUAAUCUAAAAAUGAUUUUACACUGAGCUCUAUCUGAAGGGAGAAACAGUGAGAGACAGACAAUUCAAAAGAAUCAGACAGAGUUCCCUCUGAUUACUCCUCAUCUCUCCUUCUAUAUACUCUUUCCCUUUGUCCUCCCCCUCUCAUCUGAUCAUUUCAUCCAAUCAAGGUCCCUCACAGCUGCCACACACAGAUGUGGACGCUGAACCCAAUUCAAGCUUGAGAGAGAGAGGGAAAACGAGUGAAUAAACCUUGAAGCAGCUGUGUGUGACAAUGGAAACAACAAAUAAAAUGCUCACACACUCUUUAAAAAUCACAUCGGUCGCUCCUCACACACAUACAGUGUUCACAUUGUGUCCAUCUACACAGUUUUGAUAAGCUCCUCUCUGCGAGAUAGCGAGACACUUAGAAUUCAGUUUGAGGAAUAACAGACAUUCUCUGAUGUGGACUGCUCCGCAAACACUUACUAUUGGCCUGUUUUAUCUGUUUCCAAAUGAAUGAAUCCAAUCUAAACUGAAUCCUGCCCCAAACAAAUCCUGCUCACAAUCAACCCUUGGCGAUGUGAGGAGACUAUAAGGAGCUCUAAACCCUGGCCUUGUCAAACAAACAAACAACCACCUAUAUUAGGAAUGUGCUCAACAUAUGACACAAUGCAGCCAUUUAGCAUACGUUCAAAGCAACUAAAGGCGCUUUCACAAGACAAGCAUCAGGACAUGAAUCCACUCUGCCCUCCACAUGAAAAGUGUUGGUCAUGGAAGAAUGAUUUUACUAUUUAUUAAUUCACAUACAACAACUAAUGUGCAUAUAACGAUUAUUUGAUGAAGACCAAUAAAAAUAAACAAAUAUUUCAAAUAAACGAAUCAUCCUGCCUGUGUAGACUGACUCUAUAGCACUAGCAAACAAAGGAAAGUGAAAGUGAAAGCAUAUUUUUUGGUUCGAUUGAACGAAUAUGCCCACGUCACUGUUUUGAUUCCAUCUCGGAGCAGCGCUGAAUGAGAGUGAAUGAACAAGAUUUCAUUUGUGAGCUAGGAUCUGCUGACUGACUAACUGACGUUUGAUUACUUCACCAUGUGAGUCAAUCACGUUCACAACAAAAGAUUAUGAAUGGCUAAAACUUUCUGAUUGUCAUACACAAUUAAUAUGAAGUAUAGUUACUGAAACUCUUAAAUUAUUUAGGCUAUUACCCAGCAGAUAAACAAUCAUUUUGGAGUUCAUUAGUAGAUUUGUAGGCGGCAAUAUUAAUAAAGCAUAAUGAGACUCGUUUGGUCAUAAAUUAAUCGACUUUAACAAACUGAAUGAUGAAUAAUAACACAAUAACUUCUGCCACCUACUGGAAUAACAAUGUAACCUGCAAAAAUAUUCACCAAAUUAAUCAUUCAACGAAUGUGAACAAAUCUUGGUUACUCUUUAUUUUGAUGGUCUACUUUAGACACUCUUAACUUUUCAACUAUAUGCCAACUAGAGUAUUAGCAGUCUGUAGUAGAUCAAAUCUCCACCACUGCCCUGAAUAUGCCUUUGAGAUUGUGUCGUAUAACUCAAUGUAUUAUCAUUUCUCUUCAGUUUUGCAUUGGCACCACCCCAUACAGUUGGUAAUAAAGACAUGAGUUAUUUUACAGAGAAAGUCCCUCUGGAGAAACCGGAGGUUAAGUGCCAAUGGUAGCUCAAGGAUCGCUCCUUGUGGAGUUCAAACAUAUGACCUUUCGGUCAAUAGCCCAGAUAUUUAACCACUACUCCAUACCACCUCAAUGAUGAACAUAAGCAAACUUAAAUGGCAAGUGUAAAAUCACCAAAUUGUUGUAUUUAGCAGACACAUUUUAUUCAAAGUGACUUACAGUACACUAAUUACAGGCACAGUCCCACUGGAGCAACCUGAGGUUAACAUCCUUGCUGAAGGGUAAAACGGCCACAGAGCAGGACUGUGGCUUUUCUGCUCCUGUGUUAUACUAGGGAUUAAACUUGUUUCUAUUCUCCUUUUAGAAAUUGUAACACAUGUAACAUCUCGUCUGGGGUUAAACCAGGAAAUGUUCUUUUUGAAAAAUUAGCUGUUACUUAACAUGACUACUGCAAAGCUCUAAGUAUACAUAGGCAUGUUCAGAACAGCAUACUACCAUACUACUAUUACCAUUUCUGCAGGAUACAGUAUGCAUGCCAUGCACAGUAUGCAAAUAUACUGUAUAUCGGAAAUGCCUGGAUAUUUUUUUGGCAAAAUGUUCUACACUGCACUGGGUUUCCUACAAUGCAAUGCGGUCAAGCUGGCCUUACGUUUCCUGUGUAAUAAAAAUAAGCUACAAAUAAUGAUUGUUUUCAAACAGGUUUGAAAUGAACACUCCCCUUGUCUUCUAUUGGUCAGAUAAACAUAUAUCUGCCCCAAACUUAUGUCAUUGGUUAAGCCAAUGUUGCUAUGUCAGGCUGGGUGAAAUUCUCAAACAAACAAAGUAAUGUUUUGGAAGUGCGACAGAGUCACUUGUGUUUACACUUUUCAGGGAUCUUACAAAUAUAAUCAGUCAUCUUACAAAUGGCUUACUGACUCUGAAUAUUAAACUGGGAUAGGAAAAAAACUAAGACAAUUUGACACAAUUUGAUUAAAACAGUGUUGGGGUAACACAUUACAAGUAACUUGAGUUACGUAAUCAGAUUACUUUUUCAAGUAACUAGUAAAGUAACAGAUUACUUUUUCAAUUUACAACACAAUAUCUAAGUAACGCAAGUUACUUUUAUACAUUUAUUGACUGACAGCUCUCCUGUCCCCAUGUUGAGAGAAAUAAAGUGUGGAGGUGUUGUGUGUGCUGUGUGAACAUGAUGGUUAUUGUAGUUCUAGACUAAAUGUGAACAUGCAUUUACUCAUCUCGCUGGCACGAAAACAUUCAGUAUUCCUCAAAAUGAAUAAAAACAGUGAAAUGCAAUCUCAGAAUUUUAUGCAAACCUGUAAUAUAUAACUAUAUUACAUUACACAAAUAUACUUUAUGCAUUUAAUCUCACUUUAUUAACCAAUGUCUUUGCUGCUGACCUUCAAUGAUCUAAUUCAACCAUAGUAAUAAGCAAAAAUUACUUUAGAUUUAGAAAUUAGAGUGUUGAACUUCCUUCACCUCUAUCCUAUUCUUCUUUAAUCUAGAAUGGCAGCAGAGCUGAAAGGUUUGUUUGAGCUGCGCCUUCUUCUGUACAGGUGUAAAUAUGCAUUUCCUUCAGCCUGAGGCUUAUUCAUUUCACUUUUAGCUUGAAAGGGCAUUUACAUUUGCCAAAAAUAGAACUUUUUUUGUUGUUAUUAAAAAAACAAGCAAGCCCAGCCCAGGUGAGAAAAAGUAAUGCAAAAAACAAGGUCUGCACAACUAAUUAAAUAAAACUGUAAUCUCGAUACAGCUUACUGCAGAAGGCGUUUAAUUAAACAAAUAUAUGUGGCGCGUUUCAUAGUAAAGCGCAGAACUGUGUGCUUUUACACACCACAAGCUCAUGAUCCAGUCUGUUCAGCAUCCCUGAGCAGCUCAGUGUGCAGUAAAUGCUGCUCCCUCUCUCAGAAUGAAGAAAUUAAUAUAUACAUUUCUUCUGAUAUAUAUCAGAAUACUACCGUUUCAUAUUUGAUUUAAAAAUGUUAGUAGGCAGUACACAGAUACUCUGUGCAGUAUCUAGUAAGCAGAAGGCUUGUGUUCCAUUCUGUACACAGCCAGGGUUCUUCGCACUUUACUUAACAUGGACUCUCUGUUGUCUCCCUCUAGCUCUCUCUCUCUCUUUGAGCUUUUUAGCUAUUCUUUAAACAUUCAUUAACAUUGAGCCGUCCCACAGCCAAAUGCUGAGCUCAGUCUUUAGAGCGUUCAGAGAGGUCGCUGACCUCUGAGGAGACGGAAUCGAAUAAUGUUUCCAUUUCUGUCCCUUCAGCCAAUCAGAUGAGCGAGGGGCGGGAGGAAGAGGAGGAGAAGGAGGGGAGGGGCAGCACACAUCCUUCACGCCUCACUCACAACCAGGAAGACAGCCUGCAGAGAUACAGAGCGAAAGAAAACACAGCCGUCUCUCUCUCUCUCUCGCUCGGCUCACGUAUCCUGACAUUCCAAUCUCCUCGGAGCGAGAACAACAAACGCACUGUCAUCCUCGUGGAGGCGGCCAUCUUUGAGAGCUGGGUCGCCUAUUCAAAACAAAGGCACAGCUUGAUGAUGCAGAGAUUGAGCGCAGAAUCAUGGGAGGUGUCGUCUUCACCUCACAGCCGGAGGAAAAGAAUCUGGCGGGACUCCGGCAGAAAUCAUGUUCAUGGAUGAGAUUACUAAAGUUACUGUAGUAUGAAUCAGAACAGGACGAGUGCUGUGCUGCCACUGGAGCGAUUGCUAAUGAGAGACGAGCGCGACACACGCCUAGAGAGCAGAGGAACUUUUAUUAUGCCGCAGUCGCCACUUCCGCUUCUUCUGGUCAAGCGUAUGUGGGGUAAAGCAGCUCUGUUUAUCAUAUUAGACACAUUUGAGUGUGUUGAUAAUGAUGUUAUAACGUUACUCUGUGCGUUCGCUCUGCGGCUGCUAUGAGACACUUGUUGCACACUGCAGUAAGCUAGAUGCAUAUUAGAAUAUCAUAUUAAUAAAUGGCAUGCAAUUCAUUUUAAAACAUAUUGUAUGAUGGAGCAAAUGCUAUAUUACUGCAUAGUUAAAAAUAAAGCUAAAAAUAAAGCUGCAUCUGAUUAUGCUAUGUUAGCCACUUGACAAAAUAUUGUUUUUCUGAGGCAUAAAAACAUGGUACAUGGUAACGAGAUUCAAACAAUAAGACUAAACGUGUUGAGCUAUAUAACAAUGAUUAGUUUUCUGUCUAUAAAUGCAUCCAAACAGUUGUUCCCUUGCCUAAUAAAACAUUACAUAUUAAAGCGUCUUUGGUGUUUCAAUGGUUUCUACAAAAUAAAAAUGGAAACCUAGGGUUACGCAGGUAUGAUGACAUUGAUAGGCGACGCACGGACAUGGUCCGUGUCCUGGUUAAAAUUGCUUAUUUCUCUGGAUUUAAACAUUCUUGGCAACAUCUGGGAUAAUGUAAGUACACAAGUCAACAAAAUAUAUAACACUGUUCUAGUGGUUUUGGAAUAUUUUAAUCCAAAAAUCUUACAUAUUGUGCCUUUAAUCACUUUUAGUUUGACCCAAAGUAAGGUUUUGUUUGAUUUGGCUAACUUCUGGUGGCUUCAAAGUAUAGAAAAGCAACCCCCCCCCCUACAAACACACACACACUUGUCACUUUCACUUUUGACCGCAAGUCGAUUCUGCACUUCCUGCACAGCUACAAUGCUGCAAAUCAGUGAGAAAAACUGAGAAUGUGUCUGUAUUUGUUCACACAAAAACACACUAAUGGCAAAGGCUGUUAUCCGUGCGCGCACACACACACACACACACACACACACACACAGUCCUAUGAAGCAACUGGUGAUCACUUUUAAACAUCACACCAAACUGCUAAACUGUUCUAAUAAUAUAGAGGAAAGGGUGUUUCGGUUUGUUGAAUGUGGCUGCAUCUGACAGGUCUCUCUCUCUAUCUCUCCUCUCAGCUCUAAAACACAUGCACUGACAGACACUGUAGCAUGUGCUCUUUCAAUAGCAGAUGGCUGGACACAAUCUGCGCCUCUUCUGCAAAACAUAUCAACAGACCAAUGAGAGAGUCUGCAUAUGUACAGUGGAGUCCAAAAGUCUGAGACCAUAUUGAUAAAACAGACUUUUUUUAUUUAAAACCUGGAAAUAAAGUUCCACGACUUUUUUUAUAACAUAAAAUAAAGAAAUAUAUCAGAUUAUCUACCAUAUCUAGAUCAUUCUUCAAAAUUGAUGAAUGAUCUCUCAAUUUAACUUUGUAGUCAGAUUGUUAUUAAAAUUACAUGUGUCACUAAUGGAACGAGACCGUGAAAACAACAAGAUGUGACGUAACGGCCAGAGACCAACAAUUAAAUAACACAGAAUACAUGCCCAGUAAUAGACUUGUGUAAAAAAGAAACAAUAUAGCAACAAUAAUGUAUUUGCCCCAAUAAUGUACUUUUUUCCCUCAGUAAACAUUGAUUAUAUAUGAUUAACUGUGAUUUCAGUAACAUUUUCAAUCGAUUGACAGCCCUAAUUCAAUACAAAAAGUUGCAACAUAGAAGCAUUUUACUGGUGGUCUCAAACUUACUGUGUGUGUGUGUGUGUGUGUGUGUGUGUGUGUGUGGUAUCCUGGUAAAUGUCCCCACAAUAGUAAUACUAUUAGUAAAAUUACUAAUAUUAAUAGUAAUUUUUUACCUUGUGGGGACUUUUUUUUUUGGUCCCUAUGAAUAAAAUAGCUUAUAAAUCAUAUUAAAGUAUGUUUUUAAAAAAAGUAAAAAUGCAGAACGUUUUCUGUGAGGGUUGAGUUAAGGGUAGAGUUAGGAGAUACACUUUGUACAAUAUAUCAUUAUGUCUAUGGAAAGUCAUAAAACAUGGAAACCGAACGUGUUUGUGUGCGUGUUCAUAUUGUGCUUGUGUCUGUUUGGGUGUGCUAUGAGGUUUCCCGUAAUCACCUAGUGUACAGUCAUCUCUCCACACACCUUUCUCUCUAUUCCCACUUGUGAAUUUGUUCGAGUGUGUGACUAACCUUUAUUCAGAGCGGGCCGAGAGUCUGAGCUCUCUUAUUUCUCAAACAAAAAUGUGUGUUUUGCCUGAAAGCAAAUAACACGGUGGUUUUGAGCGUGUGUGGCCUCUAUGCGCUUUUGAUCCACAAACUCCACACCUCGGACUGUUUGAUCGGCUUCAUUGAGAUCCACAGCAAAUUUGAGUGCAGAAAUUAUUUUAUCUCUCCCUGAAUCACUGUGAUGAAUAUGACAGAGAAACUGGAAUAUCCGAAUGGAAAGUGUAACGUCCAUAUUUCAAAUGACUCCAUAAUCCACAUAGAAAACCAGAGAUGUGCUGCAAUAGCCAUCAGAUCAUUAGCCCAAAGAAUAAGAGAAGGAGUUUAUAUAUAUGUGUGUGUGUGUGUGUGUGUGUGUGUGUGUGUGUGUGUGAGAUAAUCCGUCCUGACUGUUUCCUGUGAAAACAGAUGGAAAAACAUGAGUCUUUUUUUUCCUGUGCCUGGUCAGGCUAUUAAUACCUCUGAGACACACACACCACACACACACACACACACACACACAUUUAAACACACAGACAGACCUCUAUAUUCACCAGAGACACAGCACAGUUCAAAAGUCCUGUUAUACAACCUGAGAUUGGCUAUACAGGCUUGUCAUUAACACAAAAACACUCUGAUAUCACACACUUUCACACGCACUAACAUCAUCCCCUUAUUUCACAUGCUCUCAAACAGGCAUCCAACACACACUACCUCUAUAGAAACACCCAGCUGAAAGAGCAAAUCACACACACACACACACACACACACACACACACACUGAAAGACAAAGACAGGCAUUUGGUUACAAUUAAACAUGUCAGAGACACAAAACCAGGGGCAAACACAUUAAACCCUCUUUCUCUACGCAAGGCCUCAUCUAUAGUGAAUGACAACGUGCUAAAUGCUUUUAAUUGCCAUCAAUUGGAUCUAGAGAGAAACGGAGGGAAAACCUCAUAAAACAUGUUUUGUUUUUCCUUAAGGCUGCAGUUAAAAAUCCAAACGUUUUUGUCCAAACCUACGGGCGGCGUGAAUGCAAUAUUCAUUUUGCUGCAGGAGAACAAUCCAUGCAUAACAAUGAGAUUUGCUAAUGAAAUCAACCAUCAACCUGCAAUACAUACAUAUUAAAGCAGCUUGCGCUGUCACCCGCUUUGUGCAUCGUUUGUUCCUCCUGCCGUCUCUUCAGUCUCCCUCUCCCUCACUCUUUCCGACCUUUCUAUCUCGCGCUCACCUUGAGUUUUAAUAGCUGUAUUAACACAAAAUGAUGAUCGCACAUUUCCACUUCUUUGACCUGUGCGACACACACACUCACACACCUGUGCAAAAAGGUGAGACCCGGAUGCGCUGUGACCGUAGUGACAUAACUGAGAAAGAUGUGAUAAUUUCUUCGAAUGUUUGAUGAACCGCUACCACAAUGACCAACUGAUUACAAGCAGCCAAAAAAGAUAAACAGAUAGACAGAAGUGUUGUACAACGUAACAGUGAACGUACUGAUCUCAGCCAUCUAUAUAUCAUACUGGCUGGACUGGAUAUUGUAAGCAGAUAAUAUCAAGGCUUGUUUUUACCAAUUCAAACAGUAUACUCUGUGCAAGUGUGCAUGCUUCAAAAAACUAAAUUAUCCAUCCAAUGACUGAUUUCUGAUCUGCCACAACAUUGACAGAGAUCACAUAAUAGAUAGAUAGAUAGAUAGAUAGAUAGCAACAUCUGCCAAUUUAAGAGUUUUUCUCGGUAUCAGUUAAUUAUCGGCUAUGCGUAUCGGCCAAAAUUUUUCAUCCCGAUAGAGCAAGAAAGAGAAAGAGAGAGAGGGAGAGUGUGUGUAAGGAGUGUGUGAAUGGCCAUUUCUCCCUGCUGACACAGCCUCCAUCUGCCACUGAGCCGUGCAGAGAGGCACAGCGAGAGAGAGAGGGGGAGAGAGAGAGAGAAGGAGAGGAGGGAGGGCAAGAGGCAGUGCUGGUGUGAUGGAGAAGGAGAGAGAGCGCUCACGCUCACCUUGGUGUCACCUCUGCUGAGCUGAACGGGAUGAUGGGAUAGGUAGAGACACAAAGACGCUCUGCCCUCUCUCCCACACACACACACACACACACACACACACACACACACACACACACACACUCACACCUCUCUUCUCUGUGCUCCAUCUCUUUUCUGCUCGCUCACACACGCACAGAGUAACGGCACAAUCUGUGAUCACUGAAGCUGUUUGAGCCAGAUAUCGUCUCUGGGGGAUUUACACACACAAACAGGUGCACACACAUGCAGAAAUAUGCACACAUACACACCAACCUACACGGGCCGUCUCGUGAGAUCCCCGUCUUUCUCUUAAAAUGCACAUAUACACACACACACUGUGGAAUACACACACAAACAGACACACAAAAUAGGGCAAGCAGAAAGAUUUUUGACACACUUCUAAACACACACACAGAGAGCCCGAGGGCAGGGUUUGAAAUGAGAGGCAGCGUUUUAAAGAGCUCGCUGAAUUCCACCUGUGAUUAGUGUGGCUGCAGGGCUGAUGGAUCACGGCGGACACAUUUCACUCGCUCGCUGCUUAUCUCUCUUUCCCUUCCUCCUUUUUUUCUCCGCUCUCUUUUCCUUUCUCUCUCGCUCCUUCCCUCCCUUUUUUCCUCUCCGUCUCGCUCUCUCUCAUCCUGGCUCUGAUUUUUCACUUUUCUUCUCUCCUCUGCGCUUUAAAUCCUCUCUGCUCGCAUCGACAUCUACACUAAUGCCCCCUCUUUUUCUCUGUAUUUUCUUUCGCCAUCUCUCUCCCUCUCCGUGUGUGCCAGCAGGGAAUGACCUAGCAGCUGGGUCCUCUGGAACAGACCAAUAAAAUACUAAAUAUCUCCCUGCACAUCACCCACACACAGACACAAUGCCCCCCUCUUCCCUGGACCAUCUGCACGCCAAACCAUCCGUCCCUCCCCCCUGACACUCAAGACCCUUGUGAGCUGUAAACAAUAGCCAGAUAUGAUGGAAAAACGUUCUUGUUGUAUCCGCGGCUCUAAACCACCACCCUGAUUAUAGUGACAGACCAAUAAAUCGAUAUUUUGCAAUUUCGAAAUUAUCAUCACACUGACUGAUAAUCGUGUCCCCCCCUGUUGUAGUUCCCCCUUGUGUCACUUCUAAAAUCUACUUCUAGUUUUGUGACGGUAUAAUGUGCAUUUUUGGUUUAUAAAUAUUCUUGAGUGAAUUAAAUCAGCAAUUUGCUAUCAUUAAAUUAUCAUUAUCGUACUGCUUGAAAUACUUGAUUCUGAUUGGUCAUUCAGCAGUCAAAUAUUUUGGUAUAAUGACAGCGAAACUGUCCUAAUAUUCAUGAGAUGCUCUAAAGCAUCAUCCUUUUAGUCAAUACUGCGGUUUAGCAUUAGGUAUGUUUACAUGCACUAAUUGUCAUCAAUCUGAACGAAUCCAAUCUAAUUUCAGAAUCUGAAAGUUCUAUUUAUGGGUCAGUGACGUGACGGGUCAUUUUUCUGUCCAAAGGCCUUAAUAAUAAUAAAAAACAAAGAUAUGACAUCCAAAAGUAUGUAAGGUAGUACAACUAGAUCUCUUUUAUUGAAUCCAAAAGGUUUUAAUUAUAUUUUUGCCACAUAUAAAGGUAUUUUAAAAAUUUUGAAGUGUCAAAAGUUCAUUCGGUUUAACCGUCCAAAGGCCAAUACAGCCAUUUCAUUUGUGUUUAAAAUAUCUUAAAAUGUAAUAAAUGUAUAUAUUAUUUAUUCUGCCAUGAUUUUCUAACAUCAUUUAUCAACAUAGUGCAAAAUGGUAUUAAAAUUAUGUCUAGAAGUCGUUGCUUUGUUAUGAGAAAGAAUGUCCGGAAAAGUGAAUUUCAUUGAUGUCAUUCAGAGUAACCAAUAUAAAAAAAAGGACCAUUUUGGGUCAAGUCAUGCGGUCAAUAUCAUGUGACAGGAUAUGACAUCAUUCAGACACCUGCACAGGACCACAUGGUCAUGAAGCAAAGUAACUAACUCUCUUUUAACUAUUUGAAAAAUUCAUGUUUUCACUUGCUCAUAUCGUACAACCGCUAUAAAACAUGAAAAUGUUGUAAUAUUUUAAAAACUUGUACUAAAUAUAAAAUGUUUGAUUGUCCUUUUGCUAGCUAGCUAGAUAUCAGCCUGUUAGCAUUGUUUGAAAAUAGCGUCAUUUGGUAUAACCAAAGUCCCUUAAGACAAGUCAUUUCACUCGACGGCCAUCUUUGAAACGCCUCUUGGGCAUUCAAGUGCAGCUCCUAUCUCUUUGAAUGGGGAAACAUCAAAUUCUCCACAGCUGUUUGCCAAGCUUUCGAUUAAAUUUCAUAUUUGAAAUCACCAAUGAAAUCUGACAACAACUGUCUCAUAAAUUUUGUUUCUAAACGCUCAAAUCAUGACAAAAAAAAAAAAAAAAGUUUUCAGGCUAGAUCAAGCUAAAUGCACAGACGCAGUCCUAAAUGCGUGUCUCGCGUCUCAUUUCGGAGGCGCGCGUCUGACUGUUUCUAUAGGAACCGGAGCUUCUAAUGGCCGCUGCAGUGACGCGAUGACUUUACCAAUCGGCGAUUGGCUCUUAUUUAGAAGGUGGGACUUAUUCCGCCAUAUUGCGCGUUGCACUUUCUCCCAUUCAAAACAAUAAGAGUGACGCGUCUUGUGUUAUUCUAUAGUCUUUGGUAUAACCAAAAGUGUCAUUCGGUAGAACCGAAAUUUGGGUUAAACCAAAUGACUUUUUGGUGACAAAUUUUGUCAGUCUUGUAAAAAAAAUGACAAAAGCAGUGUUAAUUGAUUAUAAAAACCACAUAAUCUCAUUGUUAACACUUAAUAAAACUUAAAAAUUAAUUAUAUGUUUUUUUUUACACUUUUUAAAACCUUAUUCAUCAAUAACCCUUAUAUGAACCCUAAAUUUUGCAAUCAAUUAGAGCUGCACGAUUCUGGAUAAAAUGAGAAUCACAAUUUUUUGGUUUCAAAUAGAGAUUAAAUAGAGAUUCUCCCACGAUUCUGAAUAUACAACCAAACAGGUUCUGACAAAAUGUAAAUUGCUGACUCUAAUUGCUGGAAAAUGUUUGAAUGAAUUAUUAAAAAAAAAAAAAAAAAGGUUUUAAAUGAAUUCAAUGACUCAUUAAUAAAUACUUGUUUCAUUGCUGGAUGAUGAAUCAGUGUUUUUGAACGAAUCUUUUGAAUGAAUGAUUCAAUGACAAAUACAUUUUUUAGCAGUCAGUUGUCGCCACCUAGUGGAAUUAGAUGUAAUUAAUACAACCGUUAUUUGACGUGCCAAGUUCGUUUCAAAAGGUAGUUUGCUCUAUUUUGAUCGCUAUCGUAUACAUUGGUGUUUAAAUACUAACUUCAAACUUAUAUCUCAGUACUUCUGUGAUAAUGUGAAUAUUUGUAACACAGAAAUAACUAAUGCGUGAUUCAAAACGGCUCUCUCUGGCUCUGGCAGCACGAACACAGAUUUGAACGUUCCGGUAUGAUUUUGUCAAAGGUUUAAUAGACGCGGGAGAAUCGCUGUCAUUAAUAAAGUAGGAUCGCGCUUGAAUCGAGAUCGCGAUCUUUUUACGAUUAAUCGUGCAGCUGUACAAUUAAUUCACAUAUCCUUUUACAUGUGCAAAUUCCGAACAAAACCACCCCUUUCAAUCCAAACGAAAUUUCAUUCGGAUAGAUUGAGGUGUUUAUAUGAAGCCUUUUCAAUCCGUUUGAGCCAUCAAUCCAAUUACUAAGGGAUUAUUUGGGAGCAUGUAAAUGUAGCUAUUGCACUGUGGUGCUCAUGUGGGUGGUGCAGGUUUGAGUCUGCCUGGCAUCAUUUCCCAAUCCUGUUCCCUUCUUUUGUGCAUCCAUUUCCCACUAUCGCUAUAAAUAAAAGCAGCAAAAAUGCCCAAAAAUCGCAGGCAGAGACCCCUACCACCACACACGAAUCAGCAAACUUUAAUCGCUUCUAUUUCUAAGACUCCAUACCCACCUCUCUCCCUGUUUUUUUUCUCCGUCUCAGCCUCUCUUUCUGUAAUGACCUCCCUGAGGUCCAGUAUCGCAGCUCUCUCUCUAUUUCCAAGAGGUGAGGGAGGUUCUGCGAAUGCACACCCAGCGUAAUGAGCUCUCCCUGGACACCCAGAAUACAAAAAGCCCCUGAUAUGCUCUGAGAAUCUCCCCGGACCACCCUGGAUCCAGAUCGGCCCGGCUCCGGCACUCUACAGCUCUGAGCUCGGAGGCCCGCCAUGGGUUCUCUCUAAAUACCCCGGGCCGAGGGAGGGAGACCCCUGGGUGGCUUGCUAUUCCAGGGUUGGAUGUGUGCGUGUGUUUAUGUCUAGGAGUGUGAAUGAGAUAGGUGUGAGAAAGUGUGGAUGGUGUGAAAGGUGUGUUUAUGAGGGGGUCAAAUCUCGGUGUGUGAGAGAGUGGGGCAGUUAGAUUCAAUAGAAUCUCUUUAACCUUCUUUGAGGGCCCCCAACCUCCCCAAGAGCCCCUCUAACUGCCCUUAACCGCCCGAUUCCUCUGAGAGAUUGGAAGCCCGCCGGCCGACCUCAAAAACACACCCCCCCCUCAUCGCACCUCGUACACACACAUUUUUACACUCUAAAUGGAACAUAAACCCUACAGAGUAAAGCAUGUAAGCUGUGAUGCUGCUUUUUUCUUUCACACAAACACACACAGUUUAUGGCUUCUGUUCAGUAAGAGUCAUAAGUGUGUGUUUGGAUCCACAGCCGGCCUGUCAAAUUUGUGGCAGUAAAGCAAAGCCACUCCUUUUUAUAUUUGCCCUUCAAAAAAAGACAUAAAUAAUGGCCUGUGUGCGUGUGUGUGUGUGUGUGUGUGCUCCCUUGAGGUGCGCAUCCUGUGCUGAACACACACAGCGAGAGAAAGAGACGGAGAGAAGAUGAGCACAGAGCAAAAUGAAGGAAGAGCAGGGGAAAAAAAACAGAGGUGGGGAGAGAAAUGAGAGGGCUCACACACACACACACACACACACACUCUCCCUCUGCGUGCAACUGCGGUGUAAAUGUCAUCAUGUACACAGUUUAUCCUCUGUGUGAGCGAGAGGUGCAGAUGAAGGGAGAGAGCGAGAGAGAGGAGCGAGCGAGCCCACUGCAGAGAGGUAGACGGGAGCAUACAGCCUCUUCUUCUGUUUGUUCAUUAGUAUUCCAGCACUCACUCCUUCAGAUCCGUCCUCACACCGCUUUUAGCAUCAGCACGGGAAAACACACACAAACACAUACACCAGCACUAGAAAGAGAUUAGCUAUGUUCGAUGUGUUUUGUCCAUCUUCCAAACCAUCUCAAACUCUUGUCGCUUCAAAGGCAAUGAAAAUACUUCACAAUCGCAAGACUAUAAACCCUACAUGCUGUUUACGGAAAUAAGUUCACCCAGACUAAUUACAUGACAUAAUGUGAUCAAGUCAAGACAUUUUGACGGAUACUGAUUACUUUCAAGAGAAGAUAUUAGAGUUGGGGUCUUAAUUUUGUGCUACUGGUUUUGAGUGGCCUUGGUCUGGGUCUCAGCUUAUGGUCAGACAAGAUAGUAGUCUGUCUCCAAUGUACUUAAGGUCUUUCCUAUUACAUAGAAUUUAAAAGAAUUUAAUGGAAAUUUAGACAAAUGCUGUACACUUUGAUAUCCCAUGGCUUUUUUAAAAGCAUUACAGGUGCACAUGCCAUAUUUUUAGAUUGUGAGAACUAUUAGUAUAAACUAGUAUGAUGACAACCCAAAUAAAAUUUGUAAUUAUUUUUAUACAUUUAAGUCACACUAAUGAAUAAUGGUUUUACAUUUAGUUUUUGAUAUGAUGAUUGCAAAAAUUGUAAACCUCAUCAAAUGAAUAUAAACUAAACAACUAAACACAAUAAGAACAUUGGCCUAAUAUUAAAUAAAAAGAAAAUAUUUAGUUUGACCUCCUAAAUUUGACAAUCAUUUUCAUUUUCUAACCUUCACAACCAUUUACUGAAAAGGAAAAAAAAAAUCUAUUCAUGGAAAGUCCCAGAUAUUACCUAAGCUGUGCAAAGUUCAGCAUUUUUUCUAUUUCAGUUGUUUGGUUGACUGUGUGGGUCUUUGUCAGAAUCUAGGCCUCAAGAGUCCUAUUCUUGACCUGGGUUUUAUUGGGUCUACAACUGGAACUGGUUUAGCUCUCUCUAGGUCUCAGAGGGUCUAGUGUUGACUCAAACUCUAGAAGGCAUAUUGUCAGAUGAUUUUCAUUGUGCAUUGUUCGCGAGUUAAUGUUGAUAAAGAUGUGGAAGACGCCAAGAAGUGUUGUAAGUGGCAUCUAAAGGAAGCAUUUCAACUUUGUUUUUUAGUGAAUGGCUUGAAAGCUUUUAAAAAUGACAUUUCAUGAUUCAUCUUCAUCUAAGGACUAAGCUUUUUUAAGAGAGACAGUGGUUUCAGCAAAUGGUCAUUUACCCAGGUAAGAAAACGACUCAAAAUCAAAUAUUUUUCACUCAACUGUUGCUUGCUUAAUGGCAUAAGUGGCCGCAUGAAGAAAGCCUGAAGGUCACUACUGGAUAAUUCUGAGUCGUUUCAGUAAGUUUGUAAGAGCAGUGCCGAUAAAGCGCUUGCUCUUAUGCCGAGCUGCUCUAAAAAGCCUCAAUGCUUUGUGUCCGUUUUUGAUUUUUUUUUUUUUUUUUUUUUUCCAGCAGAAGGUGUUACAGACCAUCAGGAUACCCAAAUGGUUGGAUAGGUUGGUCUUAAGUUAUAUGCAAUCCAAAAACAUGCUAACCACGCUGACACACCCACAUGGUUCCACAGUGUUUAGCUGAACCACAAUCAACAAAUAGGUAGUUUCCAUUAUUUCAAAAGGACACCUGUCUUAGGGCUGGGCUCGCCAACUUAAAACAUUUGUGGAUCCUUUUGUGGAGCAUUAGCGAGAUAUUGCUUCAGAUUUGAGCACUGCCUGCUGUGGCUGUGUCAGUUUAGCCAGUGCACUAUUUGUCAAGUCUGUUGUAGGUGUAGUGUAUUGUAGUGAUUCUGAUGUGGAUAGGGUGGUAUUAUUGGAUGGAUCUCCACGGUAACGGGCGGGUGAAACUCAAUCGGAGUCUCUGAAUGUCGCUCACUUAGAUGGCCACCCGCUGAUCCUGACCUUCUGGAUGUUUUUUCCCUCUCCUUUUCUCUCUCUCUCCCUCCCGCCCUCUCAGCCCCGUCUUCUAACUCUUCUAUUUUCUGUAUUCAUUUAUCUAUCUUUCUAGUUGUGAUGGAUACUAGAGUGUAUACAUGUUAUUUUUGGCUUAUGUUGUCAUUGAGCUGCCACUUUAAAGCACAACGACAUCAGCAAAUGAAUAGCAUCUAUACACUUUGUGUAGAGCAUGUGUAUUGUGUGUGUGUAUAUGUAUGAAUCCAUAGAUGAAGACACUCUUAUGCAAGUGGGGGGCCUGGCUAAGACAAGAUAACAGGAGAUUAUGUUUAUGAUAUGUACUCUGAACAUUAACUGCCUCAUCUAACUGACUCGUUCUUUCUCUCUAUGGAAGAUUCAGUAUUUAUUGCUGUAUCCUCUGGUACAGUCAGUAUCAGCAUGGCCUCAUACCCUGGCCAGGGCAUAAAUAUUCAAGACAAGAAGGAACAGUAAAAUCGCAAGCGGCAAGCAAAGGGACCGAGGGAGAGAAAAAACAAAAGGGACCAAUGACAGACACUUGAGGCACCCCAUUUCUCCUUCGCUGUGUGUGUGCAUAUGUGUGUGUCCAGCAUUUUGUACUGAGGUAAUAACUCUCACCAGGGAUCUGGAAGACCCAGCAGAGUUCAGGCAGGGGUCCAUUACACCUUUCACACACACAUGCACAAAAUCCAGCAGGCCUGCAUUAUUUGUAUCAAACAACCGGUAUGUUUUGCCUCUGACGCACAAGUACAGACACACUCCUACUGCACAGCACCAGCAAUGAAAACAGACCCCUCUACCAUGAUUCCUGCUCAAGAUCCAGCAGGAAGUAUGAGCUAUGAGCCGUCCCCAGGGACGCAGGAAAGAGAAAGAGAGAGGCCAGGAGCCUGACACUGCCUGGCCAAGAUCUAUGCUCAAACACACUCUCUUGCCUCUUUUUUUUCUUUCACCACCCUCUUUUGUCUUCCUUUGCUUUCAUUUCUUGUUCUUUCUCUACUCGAAAUAAAGAGUAGUAGGUUACACUGAACAUACUCAUAUCCACUUUGUGCAGAGAAAUGCCAUUUCCUCUGCUUUAUUAUUCUCUUUUCCCCUCUGUGGGAGGCUGGGAGGAAAGUUUGCUUUGAAGAGAGAGGGUUUAACAUGUGCACUAAUAAAUAGCUGGUUUGCCCCUGGGCAAGAUUGCAAAAGCUCAGUUCUCUCUCUUCCAUAUAGUCUCCAGCAUUUUCAGUGACUACAACUUAUAACCUCCAUUUCAGAAAGAAAAGGAUAGAAGAGUGUGUUUUUCCUCAAUAUGUCCUGACAGACCUGAUUUUACUUUACAAUUUCAACUCUCCAAAGAGACUUGUUGAUAUUCUCUCUAUCCAUAAACUUUUGUAAUUCCCUCUGGGUGUCCAAGCAGUGUUUUGUUUUGUUUGUUCCGUCUUCUCUUUUUUUAUGAGAAAGGAAAGUUAUUCCUUAUAACUGAUACUCUUGCAAGGCUUCAGUAUGCCUUUGUUUAGUUUCUAAUAUUAGUUAACACUACAUAUAUUUGUUUUAAUGCAUUUGGCAGACACUUUUAUUCUAGGAAACUUAAUUUACAUUUUAUUAUUUCAUGAAAUUUAUCAGUUCAUAAAUCAAACCUGUGGCAUUUGUGUUGCCGUUCUCUCUGAGCUACAGGAAUGCUAUAUCCUUACUUUGCUUGCAAUGCUACAUUCUCAAAUCUGUUUAAAAUUGUAAUUGAAUUGAUUACAUGUUAUGCAGAUUACAAAUCAAAUUAAGUCAGAAUUAACUGCCUAUAUCAAUAUUUGCUGAGAAAUUUUAAAAUAAAUCAAGCAUGUUACAUUAUUGUGGUAGAUGAGUAAACCGUUGAAUAGAUGUUACAAAAAGUGGAUUUAGAAAACAAUAUAUUACUUAUUUCCAUUUCAUUAAACAUAAGCCUAUCAGUGACCUAUAGUCCACAGCAAUUAAUUCUGUAAUUGAGUCACCAAACUGUCUGAGUUAGACUUAAUAGCUGGGCUAUUUUUUAUUUUUAAAUGCGGAAUUAAUGCUGUUUUUUUUUUUUUUUUUAAAGACGCUGUUUUUUAGUGUCCAGUGUUUAGUAUUAUUUAUAUACUAUUAUAGUACUUACUAAUAUUUUUAAAUAGCUUUUCAUUUUUUUUUAUUUCCAGAUUUCUUUCUAAUUUUAGUUUUAGUUAUCUUGUUAUGUGCUUUGUUAUAUUAUAUAUAUAUAUAUAUAUAUAUAUAUAUAUAUAUAUAUAUAUAUAUAUAUAUAUAUAUAUAUUUAUAUAUAUUAUAUAGCUUUAAUUCAUUUCAGCAACCAAGAAAUUUCUUAAUUUAAUUUUUUUAUGUUUUUGUUGUUUUUCAUCUAAUAUUUAUAUUUUAUUUUAUUUCAGCUUUAUCUCAAUUACCAAAAAUGAUUUUUAAUAGUCUUAGUUAACAAUAACAACAAUAACGACUCUAGACCACAAAACCAGUCAUAAGUCACACAGGUAUAUUUGUAGCAAUAGCCAACAAUAUAUUGUAUGGGUCAAAAUUAUUGAUUUUUCUUUUAUGCCAAAAAUCAUUAGGAUAUCAAGUAAAGAUCAUGUUCCAUGAAGAUAUUUUGUUCAUUUCCUACCAUAAAUAUAUUAAAAAUUUAUUUUUGUGAGUGGAUAUGCAUUGCUAAGGACUUCAUUUGGACAAAUUUAAAAGUGAUUUUCUCAAUAUUUUGAUUUUUUUGCACCCUCAGAUUCCAGAUUUUCAAAUAGUUGCAUCUCAGCCAAAUAUUGUCCUAUCCUAACAAACCACAUCAACGGAAAAAGCCUAUUUAUUCAGCUUUCAGAUAAUGUAUAAAUCUCAAUUUCAAAAAAUUGACCUUUAUGACUGAUUUUGUGGUCCAGGGUCACAUUUGCAUUUCAUCCAGUUGAUUUUGAAUGUAAGGGAGACCUGUGCCUUAUCUACUGCCUGCUCUCAGUGAAUAUGGUUUGAGGCACAUUUUCUGCAAGUCAGAGGCCAUGAUUAAAUGUGUCAAUUCCUUUACCACCUUAUUUUAGUAAUUAAUUGUAGUAAAUGAAGGUGUUGACAGGCCUAAAAACAACAAGCUUUUUUCCAGUUGUUCUAACUUUACUAGGGCAAUGCCUAAGCAUUAAAAGGACCUUCCUUCAAUGCGCAAUUGCCUUGUAAGUCAGACAUACAGGAAUGUUAGCGUGAUUCAUGCUGAAAUCCUGGCCUGUCUCGCCUUCACUAAACGAGCAGAGCCGUUGAGCACGGAUGACCCUUCACGCCUUCCUACAAUUCCCAGAAAUCAAUGCUCGGAUGGAGCUUCCAUUACCAUUAUUGAUGGCUGAGACGGUGGCUGUGACUGCUGCCAAUGUGAGAGGCCGCAAUGAUGUGUAGCUGAGAGCCUAUCUUUGUUUCGCUGCCUAUUUCCUGUCUGUAUCUUUCGGUUUUUCCCUAUCCCAUUCUCUCUUUCUUGCCAUCCAUAUAUUUCUUUCCAUAUAUAUUGUUUCCUCUAGAGUGUGAAUGAAACACUUUUCUAAUAAAAGUCAUCUGUAAGCCACCACACACACACACACACACACACACACACGCACAUCUGAGGAAGCACUUGGUCUACACACAGCUGCAUGUUCACCUGAGGCAGCUGCAGUCCGUUUCUCAGUCUUUAAGCACUCCAGAACUCAAACUCUACACUGUCACUUGUUAGUGGUAGAGACAGAGAGAAUGAGAGGGAGGAGGAGACAGCGAGAGAGUGGAAAGAAAUGUCCUUGUAUUUCUGUCACUCUCUGAAACCACCAGGGAGCUAGGGAAUGAAACGAUGCAGCCGAGCAGAGAGCCCUGAGAGCCUGCCGCCCGCCUAGCAUCACCGCUAACACCGCGACCAGCAUCCGCGCUACCAAUUAGCCUGAGCCCACACAGGGAGAGAGAGAAACCGGCUGAUUUGUUUGUUCCAAAGCACAAGCUCUCUCCACCGCAGCGGUUCGUUCAAGAGACUCGGCUGUGAAAAUGAAUUGCCAAAUUAAAGAUCUUUACAAAUGCAAAAAAAAAAAAAGAAAAAAGCACGCUUAAGAAAUGUCAACCUAACAAUUGCCUUUGGAGAGCUUUGUUUCAGCUAAUUGGGAGGGAGAAGGGUGAAAAGAGAGGCUCACAUCCUAAGAACGAAAUUAAAUUAGGUUUAAAUCAGCUGAAUCUGUGUUCACCCUUUUCGGUUACAGCGUCCAAUUACCCGAAACAAACACAGAGGUGCAUAACCGUGACAAAUGACUUCAAAACUGGAAAACUGGUCUUGCAACAAAUGCAAAGUCACAGAAGGAAGGUUUAAAAAAAAGUGAUGACAACUGGCUAUUAAGCAUUAUAGUACGAA